rfam:Rhodoplanes sp. Z2-YC6860, complete genome.
UCGGGCAUUCAUUUGCAGCCGCCCGGCUUUCCCAAGACGCUUUGUCCAAGCGCUGC